GUCCCCGCUGCUCAAUAAAUAGGGCGUUGGACUUCUAAUUCAAAGGUCGUGGGUUCGAAUCCCACCUGGGAUG